GACUUUUAUGAACUUAAAUUAUCAUUUAUAUAGGAUUCAGGAAUAGACUCAAAGCGGAUUGGAUUUUCAGUCCAGUUGAAUGUCCUUGUUUUAGCAGGAUAAAGAUUUGACAUCGCUACACGGUGCUUGUAUUUACUAGUCGGCUUAACCGUUCGGUUUAGCGAGUAGGCUAACCUCACAAUCUGAUGUAAACAUGUUUCAAUUGAGGUAUAAAGGUAAAUUUAUAAAGUACAAAGUUUUUGAGGUAAAAGAGAAAUCUCGUAUUGGCUUGAAAAAACAUAGUGAAACAGUUGGGAAUUCCAUCAUUGAUGAAAAGAGGAAUAUACUAGUUGAAGGAAAUCGAAUCGUUGAUUUCCGUGUGCUAAGCCAAUUCAGUGCAAUGUUUGUGACAAAUCAUUAUUCCUUGAAAAUGUAAAUAUAAUGUGAAAUAAAGAAAAGGCUACAUACAACAUUGAUACUGCAGUAUAAAAGCUAUUUAAAAAAUUUCCACGUUGAAACUGGCAAUUAUCACAAAGUAAACGAAAAUGCUGAGCAAUAUAUGAGCGACGGAAAACAUAAUAACAACACAUUCAAAGCAGUACUUAGUGACUAUCAUGCUGGAAUAGGCUGUACACAGUUAAUUAAAAUUUGGCUUGUUUGAAUCUGCCUAUUAUGAGCAACGAGUUCUUUAGAAAAUAUCAGCAAGAGAUAGGAGCUAUAAUAAAAGAAUGCGUGAAGGACAGCUGCGAUACAACUGCAAAGGAAGAACGACAAUUAGUUUUAGAUAAAUUGGAUGAACUACAGAAAGAAAUUAUAUCAACUGUCUUUUCAUUAAUUUGCAAGGGUCUCUUCAAUGCGAUUCGUAAAAUAUGAGCCAUUUUCCAAAGCGUUGCCUACUACCCCUAUGUAUAAGAGCAACCAAAGAAGCAAACUUUGAUUAAAACUCCGAAUUAAAACGAUAAUAAAUUCCAGAAUUGAAACACGUAUUCACUACUACUUCAAUUGAUUUUUCUCAAAGUUUUGAACGAAAUGCAUUUAAAGGAUAACUAUCUUAAUUCAUAGCUCAAAGCGCGUUAGAAAUGAUUAGCCCGUGCUUGUGGGACGUUCGAACAAAAGAAAGUUUUGUUUUGUAGUUCGAAAACGAUUAAAAGUUUGUUAAAUAUGAACAUGAUAAACUUAAUUCAUUUGUCUGAAAUUGAUAAAACAAAUAUUUAAUGUUGCUGUGGAAUUUUUAUUUUUAUCGUACCGGUUAUGCGCAGUCGUUUGUGUCAACGAAGUAAUUGGAUCGAAAAAAAAACUUUUCAUUAUAUAAAAGUUUAAUUCUGUUUUUUAAUGUUAUUAAGUGUUAUUAAUUUUUUUUUUGUUGAUGAAAAUUUUAUUGAUUCUGAUUUUUGAAAGGUGGUCCUUUAUUUGAGAGAACAGUAAUAAUGAGAAUUGAAUGCUAGUGUUUUGAGAGUUAAUCAUUUAGAAAACGUUAUUUUUUAUUUGGGUGAAAGUGAUGCGUAGCUUCUUGAUAGUGCUACGUCACAGCUAGCAUAUUUUUUGUUAUUUUGAAUAAUUCGCGGAGCUUAUGAAAGGUAGCAAUGAACAAAUUUUUCUUAGCGACAAAACAGCUUUCAACGUUGAAGGUCACGGUAAAAUUUUUAUCAAAAGGUUAAUUGAUAACAAAUUGUAUGCUGGUAAGACAAUGAUUGACAAUACAUUUCAUCACUAAAGUAAAUUUAUUUUCUGCUGGAGCUCGCAUGUCAAAAGAGUAUAAAAUUUUUUUUUAUUUAUUGCUUAUGAUGGUUACAUCAACCAGUUUGGUUAUUAGUGACCACUAGAUAUAAAAAUUUUACAUAUGAGAGUAUAUAUAGAAAAAAUAAUGACAAAAGUAUACAAUAUGUACUUCUUUUGGAAGUUUACAAUAGAAUUAUAGUACCUUAUUAUGACAUGAUUUACAAUAUGGUAUACAGAUUAUUUCGAGUUACGAUAUAAUCGCGGUCAAUACAGUAAUGUACAGUGUUUUUAUACAGCAAUUUUACAAAAAGUUUAUUAUAAAAAAUUUCAAAGUUUUUUAAUUUGGUGUAGUAGUUAUUUUUAAAGAUAGUUUCCUGUACACAUAUGACGUCUGGAUUUUGAUCUACUAGAAGAUUUUGUAAAAAUUCAAAUUGAUGCUAUAAUCCGUUUAUAUUCCAUUGUAUUAUUUUUUUAUCCAUUUUUAAUUAUUAUGAAGAAUCUUCAGCGGACGAUGCUGCUGUAGUUGAGCUUUCAAUUUCCUGGUUCAAUAUGUUUUGCUUUAGUUUUUUUGUAAUUCUAAUGAAUCUACUUUUGAGAUUUUUAUGUUGUGCCAAGGGAUAUAGUUCAUUCAUUAGAUCUAUUAAACUAUUAAUAUUUUCGGUAUAGUUUAGUGCAAUUAAAUGUGGAGUGGAAGAACCAUGUAUGUUUUCUAAAAAGCUUUUGAAUUGUAAUGGGUUAAGUAGUUUAUCUGGUUUAUUUAAUUUACUUUCGAGAGGACCUAACAUUUCAUCUAACGUGUGUACACUUACAUCUG